UACAGAGGGUGCAAGCGUUGUUCGGAAUUAUUGGGCGUAAAGCGCGUGUAGGCGGCUGAAUAAGUCGGGUGUGAAAGCCCUCGGCUCAACCGAGGAAGUGCGCCCGAAACUGUUUUGCUUGAGUCCCGGAGAGGGUGGCGGAAUUCCCCAAGUAGAGGUGAAAUUCGUAGAUAUGGGGAGGAACACCGGUGGCGAAGGCGGCCACCUGGCCGGAUACUGACGCUGAGACGCGAAAGCGUGGGUAGCAAACAGGAUUAGAUACCCUGGUAGUCCACGCUGUAAACGAUGAGAACUAGGUGUCGUGGGUGUUGACCCCCGCGGUGCCGUAGCUAACGCAUUAAGUUCUCCGCCUGGGAAGUACGGCCGCAAGGCUAAA
rnacentral:rRNA from 1 species